CUGUGACGCUCAGCUUCUUGUAGAUGGUCAAUGGUGUAUUUGCAACAUGGUGAAGUCCAGGGAGUGGUCAAAGACGUCAAGAGAGGAGGCUAGUUAUGAAGACGUCACCUUGGCUCCCGGGAAACCAAUACCAAAGUCUCCCGGUGGUCCCGGGUCACCGCCGGGCCCUCUGUCGCCCUGCAACGAGAAAACUCAUUCAGAGGUCCAUGUCACCAUUCUGCACGUAAUGAAGAUCUUGGCACUCUCCGAGCUGUCCAGGAUGAAGACCACCUCCAGGGAGCAGGUGGAAGCUGCCAGACAGGAAGGGGAGAGAAGCUGAGGAAAGCAUGCAACGCCUGCAGACCCAAGGACUGUAAAAGUUUGAAAUUUUUUCAUACGAUCAGAUCACACUAAUGGCAUUAAUGCGCCAUCUGAUGGACUUGGAGGGUCACUAACCCUAGUUGAUCCUAAUGUAAGUGGACUGUAACAGCCAAAAAACUUCUACACCAGUGGUCCUUUAAACUUUUUCCACCAAGUACCACCAAAGAAAAAACUCUCCAAGUACCACCAUAAUGACCAACAUUAAAAUACAGUAGCGCAGUAGGCCUAAGUAUUCAUUAAAGGCCUACUGAAACCCACUACUACCCACCACGCAGUCUGAUAGUUUAUAUAUCAAUGAUGAAAUCUUGACAUUGCAACACAUGCCAAUACGGCCUUUUUAGUUUACUAAAUUGCAAUUUUAAAUUUCGCGCGAAGUAUCCUGUUGAAAACGUCGGUAUGAUGACGCGUGCGCGUGACGUCUUGGAUUGCCAGCCCGAUCCAAGCUAUAAGUAGUCUGCUUUAAUCGCAUAAUUACACAGUAUUCUGGACAUCUGUGUUGCUGAAUCUUUUGCAAGUUGUUCAAUUAAUAAUGGAGAAGUCAAAGAAGAAAGACGUAGGUGGGAAGCGGUGUAUUGCGGCUGCCUUUAGCACCACAAACACAGCCGGGGUUUCCUUGUUUACAUUCCCGAAGGUGAAGCUUUACUAUGGAAUAGAGCGGUCAAACGAACAUGGUUCCCGACCACAUGUCAACCGGCAGGUUUCGGUGAGAAAAUUGUGGUAAUAAGUCGGCUCUUACCGUAGACAUGAGCGGAGCUUGCGUCCUCCUGCAGCUGCGGACUCUCUUACCUCCUUCCACCGGAGACACUGGCGGUCACCACACCUGUGGCCACACCGCUCCGACUUUCAGGUACUAAUUAAUCUCACUAAAACACUAGUAACACAAUAAGCAGAUAAGGGAUUUUCCAGAAUUAUCCUAGUAAAUGUAUCUAAUAACAUCUGAAUCGCUCUCACUGCCCUGCCCUUUUUUUCUCUCUAGUCCUUAACUCUCACUAUCCUCAUCCACUAAUCUUUCAUCCUCGCUCAAAUUAAUGGGGAAAUUGUCACUUUCUUGGUUUGAAUCGCUCUAUCUGCUGGUGGCCAUGAUUGUAAACAAUGUGAGGAUGUGAGGAGCCCUACAGCCAGUUACAUCACGCGCACAUCGUCUGCUACUUCCGGUAAAGAUAAGGCUUUUUUAUUAGCGACCAAAAGUUGCAAACUUUAUCGUUGAUGUUCUCUACUAAAUCCUUUCAGCAAAAAUAUGGCAAUAUCGCCAAAUGAUCAAGUAUGACACAUAGAAUGGACCUGCUACCCCCGUUUAAAUAAGAAAAUCUCAUUUCAUUAGGCCUUUAAUGCGGUUUCAAACUGCUAUCUUUUUUCCCCACAACGCCAUCUGAUGGACUUGGAGGGUCACUAACCCCAGUUGAUCCUAAUGUAAGUGGACUGUAAGAGGCAGAAAUCUUCUACACCAGUGGUCCUUUAAACUUUUCCACCUAGUACCACCUCAGAAAAAACUCUCCAAGUACCACCAUAAUGACCAAUAUUAAAAUACAGUAGCGCAGUAGACCUAAGUAUUCAUUAAAUUCACUCAUUAACUUACUCAGUGGCCUAGUGGUUAAAGCAGGGGUAGGGACUAUGGCUCUCGAGCCAGAUGUGGCUCUUUUGAUGACUGCAUCUGGCUCUCAGAUAAAUCUUAGCUGAUGUUGCUUAAGACGAUAAGUAAUUAAUAAUUCCGCUGGUAAUCACAGUGUUAAAGGGGAACAUUAUCACAAUUUCAGAAGUGUUAAAACCAAUAAAAAUCAGUUCCCAGUGGCUUAUUUUAUUUUUCGAAGUUUUUUUCCAAAAUUUUACCUAUCAUGGAAUAUCCCGAAAAAAGGCUUUAAAGUGCCUGAUUUUCGCUAUCUGUGAAGCCACUGUCCAUUUUCCUGUGACGUCAUCCAGUGAUGCCGAUACAAACAACAUAGCGGAUAGCACAGCAAGAUAUAGCGACAUUAGCUCAGAUUCAGACACGGAUUUCAGCGGCUUAAGCGAUUCAACAGAUUACGCAUGUAUUGAAACGGAUGGUUGGAGUAUGGAGGCAGAUAGCGAAAACGAAAUUGAAGAAGAAACUGAAGCUAUUGAGCGAAGAGUUAUUGACGCUAUUCGGCGAUCACCUUCUAACCAACGAUUGAGUGUUGCAGGGUAUCCAUAGAUCUCUGUGCCAUGUCUGCCUUAGCAUUGCCGGUAAAAUGUGCAGACCAAACGAUCUGGACAUUCGCAUCUUGUGACACUGGAGCAACUUAAAUCCGUCGAUUGGUAACUGUUUGUUUGGCAUUAAAUGUGGGUGUAGGGAAAGGCUGGAUGCAAAUAUAGCUACAAAUGUCCAUACAGCUUGCCUAAAUAACGUUAGCACUGAUUAGCUGGCAGUCAUGCCGUGACCAAAUAUGUCUGAUUAGCACAUAAGUCAAUAACAUCAACAAAACUCACCUUUGUAAUUUCGUUGACUUUAUCGUUGGAAAUGCAUCUGCAGGUUAUCCAUACAUCUCUGUGCCAUAUCUGCCUUAGCAUCGCAGGUAAAAUGUGCAGACCAAACGAUCGGGACUUUCGCAUCUUGUGACACAGGAGCAACUUAAAUCCGUCGAUUGGUAAGUGUUUGUUUGGAAAUUAAAAGUGGGUGUACAUUAAAUUUGUGGCAUUAAAUUUGUAUGUACAAAUGUACAUACAGCUAGCCUAAAUAGCAUGUUAGCAUCGAUUAGCAUGCAGUGCUAAUCGAUGCACACUCCACGUAAGUCAACUUGAAUCCGUCCCUGAUCGUGUUGUUACACCCUCCGACAACACACCGGCGAGGCAUGAUGUCUCCAAGGUACGGAAAACAGUCGCAAAAACGGAAAAUAACAGAGCUGAUUUGACUUUGUGUUUGUAAUGUGUUUGAGAAAAUGGUGGAUUGACUACCUAUGUGACGUCACGUUGUGAUGUCAUCGCUCCGAGUGCGAAUAAUAGAAAUGCGUUUAAUUCGCCAAAAUUCACCCAUAUAGAGUUCGGAAAUCGGUUUAAAAAAUAUAUGGUCUUUUUUCUGCAACAUCAAGGUACAGAUUGACGAUUACAUAGGUUUGGUGAUAAUGUUCCCCUUUAAAAAUAACGUUACAAAUAUAAAACAUUGUCAUGCAUUUGAAUCCAUCCAUACGUGUCUAUUGCACCUGUUAAAUAAGUCGCAUUAAUGGUCAAAAGUACUUUAUUUAUUAUUGGUUAGCUUCAGAAUAACUAUGUUAUUAAAAAGAAUAAGAGAUGCACGGAUUUAGUUGUUGUAAUCAGGGAAAGUCCAUAUAAAAGAGGAGGCGUAGAAUUCUCUUGUCAGAGCGUGGGACGACACUGUACAAGGGUACAGGUCUACGGGUUUCUCCUUAUGGAGCUAAAUUGAAUCCAGUCUCUGUUUAAUUCCUUGCUUCUUGUCUGUUUAAUAGACGUCAUCUGUGUUGUAACCUGACAGUUGUAUUCAGUGUUAAAAAUAUUAUACGGCUCUCAUGAAAAUACAUUUGAAAAUAUUUGGCUUUUAUGGCUCUCUCAGCCAAAAAGGUUCUUGACCCCUGGGUCAAAGUGCCCGCCCUGAGAUCGGUAGGUUGUGAGUUCAAACCCCGGCCGAGUCAUACCAAAAACUAUAAAAAUGGGACCCAUUACCUCCCUGCUUGGCACUCGGCAUCAAGGGUUGGAAUUGGGGGUUAAAUCACCCAAAAUGAUACCCGGGCAUGGCACCGCUGCUGCCCACUGCUCCCCUCACCUCCCAGGGGGUGAACAAGGGGAUGGGUCGAAUGCAGAGGAGAAAUUUCACCACACCUAGUGUGUGUGUGACGAUCAUCAGUACUUUAACUUAAACUUAACUUAAAACAAGGCAGAGGAUUUAUUUAACAAGUAUAUUGAAUAUUUUCAGCCACUGUAACAUUGCACAGUUUGAACAGUAACACUGGGUUUAAAAAGUAUAGGAAAAUAAAACACUGUUUGUACAUUUGCGGCCUAAAGCUCAUUUUUAAACAGCCCGUUUAAAUAUAUAUAUAUUUUUUUUAAAUAUUUACAAAUUGGAAUAAAAGAGGAAACAGGUGUAAUGUAAUGUGGUGCAAGCUUACUAUUGCAAAUAAUUUUUGCUUGAACAAAUAAUGAAUCAAAAUCAAUUUUGUCAUGAAUUAUUGACAGAGUUAAGGCUCCAAAUAUGUUUUGGGGAAAAUAUUGCAUAUUUUUUGUUUUUGCCAUGAAAAAAAAUGGGGUUUCCUUGGGGGGAAAAAAGGACAUAAAGCAUAAUAAGAUUAAAAAAAAAAAAAUAAAAAAAAAACUAGCUGCCAUGAAAGCUUUUUUUUUAUGUAAAAUUGGCGUUGCUGAAAAAAAUAAUAAAAAUUAUAAGUGACAGAUACAUCUGUAGUUUAUCUCGAGAUUUAAACAUUGAAAGUAAAAAAUAAUACAUAAUAUAUGUUACAAAUUACUUAUUUUUAACACUUUUAUGCGUGGAGGCCCCUUUGGAUCCUUGAGAUUUUUUGUUUAAACGCUCAUUGUUCAAAAAAUAAUAAUGACUCAAAAUCAAUGUGGUCAUGAAUUAUUGACCUAGUUAAGGCUCCAAAUAUGUUUUGGGGAAAAUAUUGCAUAUUUUGUGUUUUUGCCAUUAAAAAAAAGGGUUUUCUUUGGGGAAAAAAAGAGGGCAUAAAACAUCCAACCAUCCAUUUUCUACCACUUAUUCCCUUUUGGGGUGGCGGGGGGCGCUGGUGCCUAUCUCAGCUACAAUUGGGCAGAAGGCGGGUUACAUCCUGGACAAGUCGCCACUUCAUCGCAGGGCCAACACAGAUAGACAGACAACAUUCACACUCACAUAAUAAUAUAAACAAAACAACAAGCUGCCAUGCAAGCUUUUUUUUUUUUAUGUAAAAGUGGUGUUGCUCAAAAAAUAAUAAAACUUAUAAGUGACGGAUAUAUCUGUAGUUUAUCUAGAGAUUUAAGCAGUGAAAGUAAAAAAAUGAUAUAUGAUAUUUGUUAUAAAUUACUUAUUUUUAACACUUAUGCGUGGGGGCCUUUGGAUCCUCCAGAUUCAUUGUUUAAACACUCAUUGUUGAAAAAAUAAUAAUGAAUCAAAAUCAAUUAUUGACAAUUAUUAACAUGAAAAGAUAAUAAAAAAACAACUUUAUGGCAGCGGAUAUAUCUGAAGUUGAUCUAUAAAUAUUUAAAUUUUGAAAGUACAAAAAAAAGUAUAAAAUAUGAUUAUUUUGAACAAUUUAAUGACUGAGACCCUUUCAACAAUUACCAAACAGAGGGGAGCCUUAAUGGUUUUGAAAAUGAGAAAUAUUAAAAAAUGUUCAGAGUGCGGCCCUCAGUGGAAAAUGUUUGGACACCCCUGAUGUAGGGGUACACUGCUCUAGUCUUUAAAAGGGAACUGCAUUUUUUUAUUUUUUUAUUUACAAUCAUUACGAGAGACAAGAAUGCACAUCUUUUUUUUUCUUUAGGAUUUUAAAGAUGAUUAAAAAAAACGCUUGAAAGAUCCGGCUAGGUGUAGUCACUGAUGUGGCCUUCAAAGCCCUCUAAAACAACUUCAAAACCCUCCAACAAUUUAUGUACACACUGCAAAUCUAUAUAUAACGUAGUGACAGACACCAUAUUUUGGUCAUUUUAAUCAUUUCUAAUUUCUUCUGUGCAUUGUUUUCUCUUUCCACAGCAGCGCACUUAUGAAUUCUGGCAACAAAUGUGUGCUCCUACUUCCGGAAACAAACAUGAGUGUGUUUUUUUAUGGCAGACUUUGUAGCAAACAACAACGUUCAUUAUCUUUGGACAAGUGAGGAUUCACAACCUCAUAUUUCUGAAGCUGAAAAUACAGAGGAUGAACUGCUGCUUCUUAGGAAGAGUGAGACAUAGGAACAGACGAAUGCCGAUAGAGUGAGGUCGACGUGACUUGAAGCUGCAAAAUGUAGAACCUGAAGCCAAGCUAUUUCGACAUAAAUGGAGUGCUUACCCAUAUAAACCGGAAAAAAAACUGUCCAUCGAGUAAGUCGCACUUUAUACUGAUCAUGAUAUAUGCAGCGAAUCAUGCAUGUUUUUACAACUACAGUACAUACGCUGUCUGUCUGGCUGUGUACAGAGAAAACGUGAAAAAAAAAAAAGGAAAACCUUUUGUCUUUUUGUUUCUUAUAGGGUUGAUACGGUAUACCGAUAUUAGUAUAGUACCGCGAUACUAUUAAUUAUAUCCGAUACUAUACCGCCUCUGAAAAGUAACGGUCCGCCACACAAGUAGGUUAAUAAUUCAUUUUCUACCACUUGUCCUUAAUACUUUUGACGAAAUAAUAGAAUGUAAAAUGACACAAUAUGUUACUGCAUACGUCAGCAGCUAAAUUAGGAGCCUUUGUUUACUUACUACUAAAAGACAAGUUGUCUUGUAUGUUCACUAUUUUAUUUAAGGACGGACUUGCAAUAAGAAAUAUAUGUUUAUUAUACAGUAAGAUUUUUUUGUUAAAAUAAAGCCAAGAAUGCAAUUUUAUUUUAUUUAGAAAAUAACUGAAAAGUAUUGAAAUAAUUUUGGUACAGGGACAAUACUGGUCUCUUAUAAUGAUUGUGAACGAUAGGUAAAAUGCUGAGAAAAAAAAAUGCAGUUCCCCUUUAAUUAAACUCUGUUUAAGACCAGUUGACCUGCCGCUUCUCUUUUUUGACCCCCCCUAUCAGGCGGCCACGGAUCAUCUCUGGAGGGGUACCAAUCCGGAGAAUGCGCUAGCUGCUCAAAGCCCUGACCGCAUGUAUGUAG